GUUUAAAUAGCUUAUAAAGAGCGUAGUAUUGAAGAUACUUGGGAUAUAUAUAUAUAUAUAUUUAAAUA
rnacentral:tRNA from 1 species